GAUGAACGCUAGCUACAGGCUUAACACAUGCAAGUCGAGGGGAAACGACGAUGAAGCUUGCUUUAUCGGGCGUCGACCGGCGCACGGGUGAGUAACGCGUAUCCAACCUGCCAUUGACUUGGGGAUAGCCCGGUGAAAACCGGAUUAAUACCCGAUGAAUUCCGAAGAGAGCAUUUGAUUUGGAAUAAAGAUUUAUCGGUCAUUGAUGGGGAUGCGUCCGAUUAGCUAGUUGGCGGGGUAACGGCCCACCAAGGCGACGAUCGGUAGGGGUUCUGAGAGGAAGGUCCCCCACAUUGGAACUGAGACACGGUCCAAACUCCUACGGGAGGCAGCAGUGAGGAAUAUUGGUCAAUGGUCGAGAGACUGAACCAGCCAAGUAGCGUGCAGGAGGACGGCCCUAUGGGUUGUAAACUGCUUUUAUGCGGGGAUAAAGUGUGCCACGUGUGGCAUAUUGCAGGUACCGCAUGAAUAAGGACCGGCUAAUUCCGUGCCAGCAGCCGCGGUAAUACGGAAGGUUCGGGCGUUAUCCGGAUUUAUUGGGUUUAAAGGGAGCGCAGACGGCUUAUUAAGCGUGCAGUGAAAUGUCGGGGCUUAACCUUGGCACUGCUGCGCGAACUGGUUGGCUUGAGUGCGCGCGAGGUAGGCGGAAUUCGUGGUGUAGCGGUGAAAUGCUUAGAUAUCACGAAGAACUCCGAUUGCGAAGGCAGCUUACCGGAGCGUUACUGACGUUGAGGCUCGAAGGUGCGGGUAUCGAACAGGAUUAGAUACCCUGGUAGUCCGCACGGUAAACGAUGGAUGCUCGCUGUUGGCGAUAUGAUGUCAGCGGCCAAGCGAAAGUGUUAAGCAUCCCACCUUGGGGAGUACGCCGGCAACGGUGAAACUCAAAGGAAUUGACGGGGGCCCGCACAAGCGGAGGAACAUGUGGUUUAAUUCGAUGAUACGCGAGGAACCUUACCCGGGCUUGAAUUGCAGUGGAAGGAUACAGAGAUGGUUGACGCCCUUCGGGGCCGCUGUGAAGGUGCUGCAUGGUUGUCGUCCAGCAUCGUGCCGUGAGGUGUCGGCUUAAGUGCCAUAACGAGCGCAACCCUUUUCCUUAGUUGCCAUCGGGUGAUGCUGGGCACUCUGGGGAUACUGCCGCCGCAAGGUGUGAGGAAGGUGGGGAUGACGUCAAAUCAGCACGGCCCUUACGUCCGGGGCUACACACGUGUUACAAUGGGUGGUACAGAGCGCAGGCAGCCGGCAACGUCUGUCGAACCGUUAAAUCCAUCCUCAGUUCGGAUUGGGGUCUGCAACCCGACCCCAUGAAGCUGGAUUCGCUAGUAAUCGCGCAUCAGCCAUGGCGCGGUGAAUACGUUCCCGGGCCUUGUACACACCGCCCGUCAAGCCAUGAAAGCCGGGGGCGCCUGAAG
rnacentral:rRNA from 1 species